rnacentral:rRNA from 1 species
GACGAGCCACACAAACGUUAUUCGGAAUUACUGGGCUUAAAGGGUGCGUAGGCGGCGCGGAAAGUUGGGUGUGAAAUCCCUCAGCUUAACUGAGGAACUGCGCCCAAAACUACCGUGCUCGAGGGAGAUAGAGGAAUGCGGAACUUACGGUGGAGCGGUGAAAUGCGUUGAUAUCGUAGGGAACACCGGUGGCGAAGGCGGCAUUCUGGAUCUCUUCUGACGCUGAGGCACGAAAGCCAGGGUAGCAAACGGG